rnacentral:rRNA from 1 species
GAGAAGCGUCUUCCGCGCCGGACCGUGUACAAGUCUCCUGGAAGGGAGCAUCGUAGAGGGUGACAAUCCCGUCUCUGACACGGACCGCCGGCGCUGUGCGAUGCGCUCUCGACGAGUCGAGUUGUUUGGGAAUGCAGCUCAAAUCGGGUGGUAAACUCCAUCUAAAGCUAAAUACGGGCGAGAGACCGAUAGCGAACAAGUACCGUGAGGGAAAGAUGAAAAGAACUUUGGAAAGAGAGUUAAACAGUACGUGAAAUUGCUGGAAGGGAAACGCUUGACGUCAGUCGCGUCGUCCGGGGAUCAACCCUGCCUCUGGCUGGGCGUAUUUCCCGGUCGACGGGUCAGCAUCGAUUUCGAUCGUCGUAGAAGGACGGGAGCGAACGUGGCACUCCACGGAGUGUGUUAUAGCCUUCCGUAUGGAUGCGACGGUCGGGAUCGAGGAACUCGGCACGGCCCCUCGAGGGUUCGGGACUUCGGUCCACGCAGCGUGCCCAGGAUGCUGGCGUAAUGGCUUUAAGCGACCCGUCUUGAAACACGGACCAAGGAGUCUAACGUGCCUGCGAGUGUUUGGGUGAAAAACCCGAGCGCGCAACGAAAGUGAAAGUCGAGACCUCCGUCGCGGAGGGCACCGACGCCCGGACCGGAGCCUUUGGCGAUGGAUCUGCGGUAGAGCAUGUAUGUUGGGACCCGAAAGAUGGUGAACUAUGCCUGAAUAGGGCGAAGC